CGAACGCUGGUGGCGUGCCUUAAUCCAUGCAAGUAGACCGCUAAAGAAGAAGCUUGCUUUCUCCGGAUGAGUUGCGAACGGGUGAGUAACGCGUAGGUAACCCGCCUGGUAGCGGGGGAUAACUAUUGGAAACGAUAGCUAAUACCGCAUAACAGUAGAUAUUGCAUGAUAUCUGCUUGAAAGGUGCAAAUGCAUCACUACCAGAUGGACCUGCGUUGUAUUAGCUAGUUGGUGGGGUAACGGCUCACCAAGGCGACGAUACAUAGCCGACCUGAGAGGGUGAUCGGCCACACUGGGACUGAGACACGGCCCAGACUCCUACGGGAGGCAGCAGUAGGGAAUCUUCGGCAAUGGACGGAAGUCUGACCGAGCAACGCCGCGUGAGUGAAGAAGGUUUUCGGAUCGUAAAGCUCUGUUGUAAGAGAAGAACGAGUGUGAGAGUGGAAAGUUCACACUGUGACGGUAUCUUACCAGAAAGGCGGCU
rnacentral:rRNA from 1 species